AGUGAACGCUGGCGGUAGGCCUAACACAUGCAAGUCGAACGGCAGCACAGUAAGAGCUUGCUCUUACGGGUGGCGAGUGGCGGACGGGUGAGGAAUACAUCGGAAUCUACUUUUUCGUGGGGGAUAACGUAGGGAAACUUACGCUAAUACCGCAUACGACCUACGGGUGAAAGCAGGGGAUCUUCGGACCUUGCGCGAUUGAAUGAGCCGAUGUCGGAUUAGCUAGUUGGCGGGGUAAAGGCCCACCAAGGCGACGAUCCGUAGCUGGUCUGAGAGGAUGAUCAGCCUCACUGGAACUGGGACACGGUCCAGACUCCUACGGGAGGCAGCAGUGGGGAAUAUUGGACAAUGGGCGCAAGCCUGAUCCAGCCAUACCGCGUGGGUGAAGAAGGCCUUCGGGUUGUAAAGCCCUUUUGUUGGGAAAGAAAAGCAGCAGGUUAAUACCCCGCUGUUCUGACGGUACCCAAAGAAUAAGCACCGGCUAACUUCGUG
rnacentral:rRNA from 1 species